UAUAAUAGUUUUGGGCUCAAAGGUGGUUGGCUCACUCCAGUAAGUAGAAAGGAGUGGUGCUAUGACAGUCUCAGAAGCACUAAUGUUGGCAAUUUCAUUUUCAACAUUAGUCAUUGCGAUCCUGUCUUUUAAUGUAAAAAAAUAACCCACCUUUGAGUUGGUAGCUCAGAUGGGUUAGGUAAUUCCUUCUUUUUCUGGAGCCAAUCCCUUGUUGGGACCGACUAUUAUACGGACUGUUUGAUGUUGCAGCAUCAAGCA
rnacentral:sRNA from 1 species